rnacentral:lncRNA from 1 species
UCACAAGUCUUUGAAAUAGAGAAAAUGAAAUCAAUUUACAAAAGAAGUUAUUUCACAAUUCGGAAUCAAUUUGGUUACUCAUCAACCCCUCGUAAUUCCUCUCAAUGUUCCCUCAAAUGCAUGUACAAGAUAAUCAAGCAUGGAGAAUCAAGAUUAUAGAGGAAUCUACUACAAUAUCAAUCAAUAUGCUCAAAUGGAAUCAAUUCACACUUGGCGACAUUUAUGAAAAUGAAUUAAGGAUGCUCAUGGUGCAAAGUACAAACUCCCACUCACCUGCCAAUCCGGCACGGCCUCGAUACGCCUCUAGAAUUUUACAGUAGGCAGCAGGGGACUU